ACAUCGGUAGCACAGUGGUUAGUGCAGAAACAGAAAGACGCGGGUUCAAUUCCCGUCCGAUGUC
rfam:Nippostrongylus brasiliensis genome assembly, scaffold: NBR_scaffold0001638